GGCAGGAGCUGCCAAGAUAAGUGUUUGUGUGAGGUGGGGAGAACAUGGUAAGAGGAAGAGUGAGUGAACAAGAUGGUCCCUGAAGGCCUCCCAAGCCCCAGGGCCAGAUCCAGGGCAGUAACUGCAGGGCCCAGAGAAAAGAAAAAGCAGGUGGACUCAGCCUUUCCAGUCACACCCAAUGAGCCAACCGCUGUGCUUCGUGUAGCCAAAUACCAAUCUCAGGGAUCUUUGUUGCUCUCAGCUUCACAAGAGGGCCUCUGCUAUCAUAUCGGUGAAUCCAACAGAAAGAAGAUCAGCCCUGAGCUAACAUCUGCCGCCAAUUCUCCUCUUUUUGCUGAGGAAGACUGGCCCUGAG
rnacentral:lncRNA from 1 species